rnacentral:rRNA from 1 species
GACGAACGCUGGCGGCGUGCCUAAUACAUGCAAGUCGAGCGGACAGAAGGGAGCUUGCUCCCGGAAGUUAGCGGCGGACGGGUGAGUAACACGUGGGCAACCUACCCUGUAGAUCGGGAUAACAUCGAGAAAUCGGUGCUAAUACCGGAUAAUCAUUUGAAGUGCAUGCUUCGAAUGUAAAAGAUGGCUCCGGCUAUCACUACGGGAUGGGCCCGCGGCGCAUUAGCUAGUUGGUUAGGUAAUGGCUUACCAAGGCAACGAUGCGUAGCCGACCUGAGAGGGUGAUCGGCCACACUGGGACUGGGACACGGCCCAGACUCCUACGGGAGGCAGCAGUAGGGAAUCUUCCGCAAUGGACGAAAGUCUGACGGAGCAACGCCGCGUGAGUGAUGAAGGUUUUCGGAUCGUAAAGCUCUGUUGUUAGGGAAGAACAAGUGCCGUUUGAAUAAGGCGGCACCUUGACGGUACCUAACCAGAAAGCCACGGCUAACUACGUGCCAGCAGCCGCGGUAAUAC